rnacentral:lncRNA from 1 species
CAGGAAGCCAGUACCCUAGAAGAACAUGUGAGUCGUGUGUCUGGGCCUGGGGGCGAGGUGGCCUCACCUCCUUGCUGCGUCUUGACCUGGAUGGGGUCUGAGAGCGGCCCGUCCGCCCACAGGACGUGAAGGCCAGGACACGCACGGUGGUAGGUCUCGUCCUCCAGCAGGCUGCCCACAGUGGUCAGCAGGCUGUCAUCCACGUUGUGCUUCUGCCAGUUGCCCACGGGGUGCUGGGGCUCCAUGGGUGUGGAAGUAGACGCGGCAGCCUCGGAUCAGCCCGUUGGGCUCCACGGGCUCUUCCCACUGCACGAUCAUGGUGGAGGCACUGAGCAUGCGGGCCUGCACAUUGCGAGGGCGCUGGCGGGGAGCCUGCUCACGGUGCGUGUCACCACUGACUCGCUGGGGGCCCCUGGCCGAUGGAGUUCACGGCCGACACCCAGAUCUCAUACUCCGAGUUGGGGCUGAGUCCGCCGAUGCUGUAGCGCGUGGUGGUAAUGUCCUCCUUGAUCUGGUACGGCCCGUCCUGGCUCUUCGACUUGUACUCGAUGACAUAGUAGGACACUGGGUCUGGGUUGCCGGAGUCCCACGUGAUGGUGAUGCUGGUGGCAGUGUUCUCGGUCACCACAGGCGUCCCAGGGGCUUUGGGCAGAGCUGGGGGCGGGAGGCAGCGUCACGGCUUGGGGGCCUGUGACACUGAACCCCACAAUCCUCUCUGGGGUCUGAUUUCCACAGUGGAACCGUGGCCGGAUGGCCCCCAAUCAUCUCCUCGUUUACAGCUGGAGUGGGUCUACUACACCCCGGGCUGGCACCUGUGGGCCUUUGGGUUUUAUUUUUGCAGCUCUGGGGAUUGAACCCAGGGCCUCUGUAUUGAGCUACAUCCCCAGCCCAUUCUAAAACUUUAAUUUGGAAUGAGGUCUCACUAAGUUGCCCAAGCUGAGCUCAAACUUGCUAUCCUACUCCCUCAGGCUCCCAGAGUGGUGGGAUGACAGCCAUGGGCCAUUGCACUCGGUUUCGGGACGAUUUAUAAUUGUGGACCCAUCUAACAACGUUCUGGUUUUUUGAGACAAGGUCUCACUACGCAGCCCAGGCUGGCUCGAACUUGCAGUGAUGCUCCUGCCUCGGCCUCCCAGGUGCUGUGAUGACAGGUGUGCGACACUACGCCCUGCUGAGAACCACCUUCUUCACAGCCUUGCCCAGCAGCAGCUGUGCAGUGACCGCCUCUGGCCCUGCCCCCACUCACAUUUCACGGUGAUCUGAGCCACUGCCUCAAUGACACCCAGGCUGGACAUGGCCACGCACGUGUAGUUGGCUGAGUCCUUGACAUCCGUGAGCUCCAGCACGUUGCGGCCCACGGGCAUGUCGUCCUCGGGGGUGAGGUCCUCGGCACCCUGCAUCCACUUGACGUAGGGCAUGGGCGAGCCUACGGCCACGCAGGUGAUGUUGACGUUGCCCCCCGGCAUGAUCUCGUGGCUCAUGGGGAGAAUGGAGAAGCGGGGGGCCACGCGGCGGACUGGGGAGCACGGGAUGCCCGGCAGGUCAGGCGGGAAAGAGGAGAAGCAGGGAGAGAGACAGAGGAGAGAAAGACACAAAGGAAGAAAACAAAGUAGAAAAGCAUUUAAAUAUAAACAGGGCUGCUUCUCUCCCCGUUCAUUUCUCCCCCCAAAUGAAAAGAAACAAACGAAUCCAAAUGAAAAAACCAAAUUCCAACACAAAGAAACCAAAACUUCAAAGGAAGGUACUUCACAAACAAUAGAGAGAUAUAUCGAUAUAGAAUAAAGACAUAAAGCAUUAUCUCAUAGCCACUGGGUUUCAGAGACCAGAGGGACUCUGGUCACAGCACAGACGUGGACACAAAAAUUUAUCAGCGGUUUCUCAUCUUUGCUGGCGGACGUGGCCACAGGCCCAGUGCCACCCAACACUCCCGAUGGCGGUGGCCACUCUGAGAGCGCUGGGAGGUUCUGGCUGUAAGGGCUGGGGUCGGGGAUGCUCGAGGGGACACUGUGAGCAACACUCACAGCGGUCGAGGGCACGUCCAAGAGGGUCCGACUAGCUGGAGCGUGGAUGGAUGGACCCUAAGAGGGAGGAGCCAAGGAGAUGCAGUGUGCUGGGAGCCGGUUCUGCUCCCGUCCCCUCUGGUGACUUCGACGGUCUCCCCACUUCUCCCCCCACCCUCCCAAGGAAAAGAUGAGAAAACUCUAAUGAAAUUUUUGUGGUUUUGGGUAUAGAAACCCUUCUAAAAGCUUCUGUCGGAUCUGACCAGUUUUGAUCAAUAAAUGCAGCUCUCAAAAUCCACAAACAUCAUGCAGAAUAGGUUGAGAGAGAAAGAGAAGAGACAGCAAGAGAGACAGAGAGAGAGAGGAAGAGAGAGAGAGGAAGAGAGAGAGAGAGCACAGAGAGGGGAUGCAGAGGGGCCUGGAUUUGGGGAGAUCUCUGAGGCGCGGAGAUGCGUGGAGACAGAGCUGGACACUGGGAUGGAGGGAGGGACAGGGACAGAGGGCUGGGCCCGCUCAGUGCUGCGGAUGCGUUCCAGCAGAUGUGGCCCAAUGCGAGACCUCACAUUGUCACAUCCCGGCCCUGCGACUCGACUAGGGGAGAGGACGUUAAUAAUAGUGAUGCUGAUCGUCAAGGAGGGCGAGCUGGCGCUUGGGAGAAGGUGCUGUGCGCUGCUCUGCAGGGAGUGGCCACCUUCCGUCCGGACCUCAGGACGAAGGUGGCAGACGUUGUUCCGGGGCUCCGUUUCAGAAGGCGGGUGAGUUUGGAGGUCAGGGACCUUGCGUCUUGAAGAGAAGGCUGUGCCCGCUGUAGGGACUCGGGCCAUCCUGUUAGGGACGUCUCUGCCAGCCAUGUGGAACCCUGGGGGACCACUUGGGGCCUUAAAUGGCACUGUGCUGAGUCCAGCUCUGGGUGGGGCUGGGGACUUGCAGACAGGUCAGGAGCUCAGCCAAGCUGAAGCACUCUUGGGGGGGCCCCCAAGGCAAGGCUACCCAGGUAAGGUGUAUGGUUUUGGGGUACAGCCUAAGGGUGCAGUGUCAGGAGGUCUCAUCUGCUCCACUGAGGAGGGGACUCUGGGAAGGAAAGGCGGCAGCCCUAACCCCUUCAUCUGGCUUUGGUCUCCAGCUGGAAACCCCAACCUCCGUUCCCUAAUCAGGUGGGAGGCAGAGGAGGGGCUCUGGGGGGGAUGGGAGGGGUCUGGGAGCUCGCAGCCUUUCGGAAAACGAAGCCCACGAAAUGUCCAGAGUCUCGGUGAAGACAGGAUGGAGGGGCGGGGAGGAGACGAGGGGCCAUGCAGACGGACAGAUGGACAGACAGAAAGGAGGAGAGGGCAGCAGGGGGCUGAGAUGGGGUGCACUGGGCAGGGCUGGUGGAGGGCUGAGUAGGAAUGGGGCCCGGCCGGCUGCGGAGUCCACAGCAGGCUGGGGCAGGAGAGGCCGGGCGCGUUGUCAUGGAGACGGAACACGAAGGGGGUGAGUGCCGGCGGCUAAUUAAUCCAGGACAGAAACGGCAUCGACAUCCAAAACAAAAUGGGAGAGGGAGGGGGAAGAAACAAAUGAAAAAAGAAAAACAAAAUCAAAGCCAAAAAAAAAAAAAGAAUUUAAAAAAUCAAACAAAAACACCCCUUUGAAAUGAAACACAGCACCCAAAAGCAAAAAAAAAGAAAACAAAGUAACCAUGGAAUGGGUGUGGGGCUGGAAAUCGGGGUCUGAAAGGAGGGGGCAGGGGCUUCCCCGGGAGACGCCCGCCCCCCGGCAGAACACAGGGUCUGGCCUCCCGCCAGCCCCGAGCGGCCCAGGGUCCCAGGCAGCCCGGUUCCGGCCUCUCGCUGCGGCCCUGCCAUGGACACCUCUGCUGCCCGGGCCUCGAAUCCCACGGCAAAGCGGACUCCGUCUCAUCCCAUGUGACUGAAGCAGCCUGGGCAGGCCCACCCCAGCCUGUUUCCCCAUCUGCAAGACAGAGCCAAGCAGUGACUUCUUCAGGAAGUGAGGGACAGGGAAGACCCCGGUGUGCCUGGGGCUGAGGAGUUAACCUUCCAGCCUCCUGGGUGCCCAGAUCAAACAGAUUCUCUGCCUCCAGGGAGGCUUCGGAUGGGGAAGUUUUUAAAAAGCCAACAGCAGGAAAUUCCUGUCUGGCCCAAUCCCUCCCAGCAAGGCCAGAGGCACAAGUGCUUGUGCCCAGUUUGCAGAUGAGGAAACAGAGGCCCACAGAGGUGACAGGACUAUCGCGGAAGUGGUGUGGCCAGGGCUCAAAGUCAGGCCUGCCUGGUCCCUACCCUUCACACAAAAUGAGCCUGCUCUCACCACGGUUAAUAGCAAGAAUUAGAGCCAGGGGUCCCUCCUUGGUAUCUUGGGUAUUUCUGAACCUGUGAAGUCUUACUCCCUGGGGACACCAAAGAGGGGAGGACUCAUCACCUAUGUACAACUCCGUCAACCGAAUAACUGCCACCAGGUGAAUAACAUCCAGCAGCCCUCAUACUAAACAUCCAGAAGCCAUCAGUAAAAGGCCUGUUCCUACAGGGAUUAUUUAGCUAUCAAUGGGAAUAAGACCUACUUAUUCCCUUUAGAUCCUUAGGAAGGUUAAAUAUCAGUCCAGUUGAUCUCUUCCAUAGGCCCAACAUUCAGUCCAAAAGACCCUGCUCAUGCCCUGUCUUCAAGAACCUCCUGGGCAGCAUACCUUAAAAGGUGCCUUUAACUUUCGGAAGCAGACAGGCAUACACACCUUGAACAUGUGACAGACCUGCCAUCCAGGGUGGCCAGCUGUGAGCCAGUUAAAUGUGAGGAUAUUUGUCAGGAAUUCCCAACAUGGCCAACAGCCAUCAGUUAAAUGGUGGGCAAGACUUUUCUGACUCCCAACAAACUUGGUGCUUUUGCUUUGUCACCCAGCUUGCUUGCUUCUAAGGAUGUGGGGCGGGAAGAGAGCUGGUUGGCCACGAGUAUGAGGCAUCUGUGCCCCUCAGGACUAUGGAGCUCAGGCCCUGGGCGUCCUCCCAGCUGGGAAGCCUGGACGGCCGACACUGUGUUCUGCCCGGUUUGGUGCUGGUACCCGCCCACGUCAUCUUUCCACCCCUGGCUGCAAGCUUGAGGUGCAGGUUAGAAAAUAAGGUGAGCACGGGGCCCACGGGACAGACAGGCCCUGCGGAACCCCCGCCCCCCAUUACCGACCUGAAUAGAGGGUCCAGGCGGGUUAUAAGGGAUGACACCAGCCUUGUGGUCAGCACGCUCCAGCUGGCUCUGGUUCCCAGCUCUUCUCGUCACCGAGUGGCCGGGGAGGGUCUCAGCGAGGGGACCCGCAUGGGCGGAGGGGUUGGGGGGGCGGGGGGUGGUGGCGGGUGGAGGGGUGGUCGCUUCAAACCCCAAUUCACAUGGAAAAACAACUCAAAAACUGUCAAAGCAACCGGGAGACGGCCCCUCCCCCAGGCAGGAAGAGGCAAAGACUCAAAAAAAUCAAAACUGAGGUGGGGUGGGGGAAGUGGAGUGAGGGGGAGGCGGGGUGGGGGGACUCAAAAGUGAGGUGAUUUGGUUGAAGCAUCAGGUGGGGACCCAACAGUGUCAGACAGCUCAAGAGAUCCAGCAAGCCGCAGCUCCGGGGGUGCGGGGAGCUCUGCGGGCCAUUUUGGGGUGAGAGAGACCUCGAGAUGCUUCUCCAAACUCCAAAAUGGACAUUUAUGCCAGCGGCGAGGGCAGGGACAGAUGCCAGGAAGGGGUGCAGCCUCCAGGGAGGGGUUAGUGAAGCUUAGAUUACACCUGUCGGGGAAGGGGGGCAGUCAGAGCCCAAUUUCAAGCCCGGUUCUAGUCCCUGCCUUCAGACCCAGCCUGUGGCCCGGGGAGGUGGGCACCCCCCGAUGCUGUGCUGUGCCCUCUCUGGUCCCCUCUGGUCUUCAGCGCCUGGUGACCCCCUCCCCUCCCCCACGAAGCCACCUCACGGCCUGGAGGAAGCUGGGGCCCUGACCUGCGGCCUUGGUACUGGCUGCACUAGAGACGGUUUCAGAAAAUGGGGUAUUUUGGGGGGUGAGGUUACCCUCUCUCUCUCUCCCCCCUCUGGGUUUCAUCCAAUCGACCGAUGCCCUCCCCUGCUCUGCAGGUGACCAGGUGUAAUCUAAGAGGCCCCUCGUGCCCGCCCCCACCCACAGAGGGAAGAGCAAUGCACAGGGCAGGAGGCAGGCAGCAGGCGACAGUGGUCCCAGCUCAGUGUUCCUGCGGGAGCCCCUCUCCCCCCACGGGUGCGGGAUGAGAAGGGCUGGGUCCUCAUCUCACACUGCCUGCCCCCACGAUCCCAGCAGGACCCCGAGAGCUGGCCAGCAGACCCUUGGGGAAGUCACUCUGGGGACACAGAAGGCCAAGGAACCGCUGGAGGUCACGUCCACCAAUGCUAGGGCUUGGGUAGCAGGCAGGGGGACACCACUGACAUAGGUCCCUAGGUCGCUCGGCCAGCCAGGAAAGGCAGCCUCGCUGGCCCUUCAUCUGCACACACGGUAAAGGCUCCCAACUUCCAAGAGACAAGAAACAGAAUUAAUAGUUGAGGAGAGCACCAUCCGGUCCCCACCUGGGCAGAUCUGUAAGUUCAGGUGACAAAAGUGGCCAGGGUUUGGACUUUGGCUCUUGGGACCCUGGUGGUCAAUUUCAGGAGAAAGGCAGAUGGGAAUUCUGCUCCGCAGUUAGAAGAGCGAUGUUGUAGGCGAGACUCCCUGCGAUAAACCAACCCCCUGGUCAGGCUGUGCUUUCAACAACGUUAAGUACCCGCAGGCUUCUGCAGGCGAGUAACUACCUGAAAGGGUAGCCUAGUUUUUUGUUUUGUUUUGUACUGGGAAUUAAACCCAGAUAAUUCACACUGAACUACAUCCCCAGUCCUUUAAAAUAUAUAUAUAUAUAUAUAUAUUUUUUUAAUUUGAGACGGGGUCUUGCUAAGUUGCCAGUGCUGGACUUGAACUUGUGAUCCUUCUGCCUGGCUCAGCCUCCCAGGGUGCUGGGAUGACAGGCAAGUGCCACCAUGUCCGGCUUGCCUAGUUUUAAAGCUCUCUUUGUCACCCCCUGCGGCUGCUAAACUUUCCAGGGAGUUGCCUGGGGUUAGGUCGGAGGGACAACAGCUAUGGCUCUGGAAAAGCUACUGAGGUCCUGCCUGGGGUCAGGGCUGGAGUCAGGAGACAAUGAGAUCGAUUGCUCACGAGUUCAGAAAAGCAGUAAGUGUAAAAAAAAAAAAUUCAGUCUUGAGCACAUGAAUUAGCUUCUGCCCUGUGAUUUUAAAGCAGUUUCCCACAGGCCACCUUAUUUAAACAGUGGACACAGGAGGCAAGAAUGAAGGAGGAGGGCCCAGAGAGGGGAAGAGUUGUUCAGGGGGGAUGAUCGUGGGUCUCAGUGCAAUGGAAUAUACCCAGCAACUCUGAGCACGGCACGUUUAAGGUCUUGUUGUUCAGAUGAGGAAAGAGGGGGUCCAAGUCAUCUCAAAGGUCAAGCCCAAGGUCGCGCAACGAGGCAGGGACAGAGCCACAGCCCAGACUCAGCUCUCAGGACCCGGCUGUUCUGCCGGUGAGAUCUAGUGCCCUCCAGAAACCCUCGGCCCCUUGAGGUGCAGUGCACCAGAACCUAGCGUUGGUGGAGGGCCUGGGGGAUCACUUUUCCCCAACUUUCGGGGGCUUCCCGUGGGGUGAUCUGGCAGCUCUCAAGCUCACUGAGCGAGGAGAAAUAAGUCCCCUCUUAUUGUGUCUAAGGUUUUCUUGACAACGUGGCUUUGGAUUUAGUAACUGGGAGGUUAGAACAGGCAGAGGAAGGACGAGACAGGAGGAAAAGUGGCCUCUACCCUUGACUGCUGAGCAGCACGCUGGGUAAGGGCUGGUGGAUGGGACCCUCGACGGGUAUUUUGUUCGGGUUUGUUUUUUAUUUGGAGUUGAUAGGAGAGUCUCAAGGGUGCUUGCUUUUUCUCGGGGAGGGAGCAGAAGAUAGAGACAUGGAUCUCUAAGGUUUUAUGAGAGGAGAGGAGAGAGACAGAGAGAGAGGGAGGGAGAGAGAGAAAGAGAACAAAGAGGAGUGGGGAGACAGAGAGAGUAGGGAGGAGGCUGUGUCCAAAAUUCCCCUGGUUUCCCCCAGAACUCCGCAGCUCUGAUGCGUGGGGAACUCCGAAAGUGACCGUGCUGCGCUGCUGGACAGCAGACACCUGUGACUGGGCCCAGAGCCUGAGCGAGGGAAAGGGGGAGCAGCUAACGCCGCCUGGGAGGUGGAGGCACAGUGCUCCGGGCUUCACAGCCGGCCAAGUAUUUCUUCCAAAGUCUGUCCCGCCGCACAUGCGGGUGGGCAGCCCCGGACCUGUGCCCAGCCGGGAUGCACGAAGCCACCACACCAGCUGGCAUUUGGAACGCGAUGUGCCAAGCACACAGAGUCUCAGGAGGACGGAGUUGUUACUGCUCUCUCCCGACUUCUCCAUUUGCCACUAUCCUUACUGGACAUGUUGCAGACUGAAUGAGGACCCUGACUCUUGGGGGCUCCUCAGCUUUACUUAGCAAACCUGGUUUUUGGUUUGUUUUGCUGACUUGGGUGGUGGGACAGCCUCACACUGAGGCUAAGAGGAGGAGAAAACACCUGCUUAUGUUCCCUCCCGCACUGCUGCCCAGGAGAGAAUAAAGGAAAAGGGGGGCUGCCUAGGAGGUCAGGCAAAUUGGGGUGCUCUCCCCACAUACCCCACCCAGGCUCUGACCUCCCACCGCCCACCUGUCAUGAUGCCCCACACGGUCACUUUCUGGCCCAGCAUCCCAGCUGUGGGAAGCCCUUUCUGCCCUCCCAUGAGAGUCGGGACAGGAACACUGGCUUUUACAUCACAAUGCGUUUGGAGAACAACCACAGAACAGCUCAGCCCAAGAAACCAAAACCAAAACAGCACAGAAACAAAACAGAACCAAAGACAAUCGCUUUGGGGGAGAAGGGAGAGGGGGACCGGGUGAAGAGGGAGGGAAGGGGGAAAAAAAACGAACCAAUCCCCCCCCCAUCAAAAGAAACAAAACUUGAAAGAAAGAAAGAAAAAAAAGGGGAAAAAACAAAAGAGAAAAACAGAACAGGAGACAAGAAACACUCCAACAGAAGACUUUGGGGAUUCACCAAACCAAACCGACAAAGAGUGGCAUGCAGAGAAAUUUGUACAUUCUCCCAGCAUGCAUCAGGCCCAAGUUACCAUGGCGACGAGUGCAAAAAACUUAGCAACAACAUUACCAACAGAUGCAGAGCAACCAUAAUGCAAGCAUCGCAUGUGUGCGGCCGGCCCUGGGCCGGGCUGGGCGCGGCUGAGAUUUUUGUGUCUUUCUAGGUUUUGCUCUCGCUUGGUGGUUUUUAUUUAUUUUGUUUGCUUUGUGCUUAUCAUUCAUAUUACAUUUUUCAGUUCAUUUUUCUGUUUUUUCCGUGUGCGUGUCUGCGGGUGUCUGUGUGGUGUCUAUGUGUGCUUUGUGUCUGUGCGUGUCAUCGUUGCAGAAUGUAAAAAUGUGGGUAAAGAAAGUAAAAAAGAAAAAAACACACCAACCUUCUCGAAGCUCUGAGGGAUGUAAAGGGGGUUUGAUGCGCAACACAAUGACAUGGGGAGAAGAGAAAAAAUAGGGGAAAUACAGAGAGUAAAAAGAGGACUUCCCAAGGCUAAAAGCUGCAAUAGUUUUUUUUUUCUUUAAACCAAAAAAAAAACUUAAAAUUAAAAAAGAAAAAGAACAGUAAUGACUUUUUUUCUCCUCUUUCCUCUUCUUUUUGCUCUCGACAUACAAGAUUUACAUUUGCCUUUCUCAAUUCUCUUUCUAAAUUCAACUUCGCAGCAUCUGUCAGACCCAGGCAAAGACAGGGUGCCGGACCUGUCCCCAGAAGGGAGGAGGCUCGGGCUGGGGACACGGAAGGACCCCUGCCUUUUCGAGCCCUGGCUAAAUGCCCACCCCCUCCCUGCCCCACACCUCCAUCCCCUCUCCUUUCUCUCUCUCUCUCUCUCUCUCUCUCUCUCUCUCUCUCUCUCUCUCUCUCUCCUCAGGCCCUGUUUAACUCACAAACCCCCAUCCCAGGAGGCAGCAGAGAAACAAGGUUAGAUGAAGACCAGUCAGUUGGAGUCACGGACGCAUUACAACUCACCGGAGUGCCGCAGGUGGACCGGACGUGCCCCCCGCCCACCCUCACGCCCACGCCCACAUCCC